rnacentral:rRNA from 1 species
UACAGAGGUGGCAAGCGUUGUUCGGAAUUACUGGGCGUAAAGGGCGCGUAGGCGGCCUUCUAAGUCAGACGUGAAAUCCCCCAGGCUUAACUUGGGAACUGCGUCUGAUACUGGGAGGCUUGAGUGCGGGAGAGGGAUGUGGAAUUCCUAGUGUAGGAGUGAAAUCCGUAGAUAUUAGGAGGAACACCGGUGGCGAAGGCGGCUACCUGGACCGAUAUUGACGCUGAGACGCGAAAGCGUGGGGAGCAAACAGG